AUUGAACGCUGGCGGCAAGCUUAACACAUGCAAGUCGAACGCCGUAGCAAUACGGAGUGGCAGACGGGUGAGUAACGCGUGGGAACGUGCCUUUCGGUUCGGAACAACUGAGGGAAACUUCAGCUAAAACCGGAUACGCCCUUCGGGGGAAAGUUUACGCCGAAAGAUCGGCCCGCGUCAGAUUAGCUAGUUGGUGGGGUAAUGGCCUACCAAGGCGACGAUCUGUAGCUGUUCUGAGAGGAAGAUCAGCCACACUGGGACUGAGACACGGCCCAGACUCCUACGGGAGGCAGCAGUGGGGAAUAUUGGACAAUGGGCGCAAGCCUGAUCCAGCUAUGCCGCGUGGAUGAAGAAGGCCUUCGGGUUGUAAAGUCCUUUCGGUGGUGAAGAUAAUGACGGUAACCACAGAAGAAGCCCCGGCUAAUUUCGUGCCAGCAGCCGCAGUAACAC
rnacentral:rRNA from 1 species